rnacentral:tRNA from 1 species
GGCGCCGUAGUUCAACUGGACAGAACGGGAGUUUCCUAAACUCCAGAUGUGGGUUCGAGUCCCGCCGGUGCCA